CUUAGCUCAGUUGGAUAGAGCAACGGCUUUCUAAGCCGUGGGUCGAGGGUUCGAAUCCUUCAG
rnacentral:tRNA from 1 species